UCAAACUUGGUCAUUUAGAGGAAGUAAAAGUCGUAACAAGGUUUCCGUAGGUGAACCUGCGGAAGGAUCAUUACAGAAUUUAGGCUUCACGGCCGAUUCUCCAUUCUAAUGUCUACCUGAACUUCGUUGCUUUGGCGGGCGCAAGCCCGCCAGAGGACCUAAACUCUUGAAUCAUUGACGUCUGAGUCACGAUAUAAUCGUUAAAACUUUCAACAACGGAUCUCUUGGUUCCAGCAUCGAUGAAGAACGCAGC
rnacentral:misc_RNA from 1 species